GCAACACCUGCUUCUGGUAAAUCAUUUCAUGGACAAAUGUGUCGAGUCUGGCAUCCCCUAAUCGUGCAAAACAAAAAACGAAGUCAGACUAGGGAUCCGUAUAUAUAGAGCGGACAACUAUUGAAAAGACAUUGAAGCUAAGGGCUAUGGGUGAUCUUGGGAUUAUUGAUAAAAGUAGCAAAACGGCCCAUCGAUUGUGCUCAUAACCUCUCGUACAGGCACUGGCGGUGCAAGUGGUCCCACAUCGAUGAUGUCGUCCAAAGUUCCAUUCCUGGUAGGAGGUAUAUUGGCGAGUAUCGACCAGAGGCGGUCAAUUUGGCCGUGAUGCAGGAAAAACGCUGGUUCUUGAGGGCUAGAAUAAAAGUCUGAGUCUGGAGGAUAACGAUGUUAGUUUCUCUAGAGCAUCGGAAAAUAUGGGGUGGGAGAGUACUACACAUACGUUGUCCAGUCAUCCCACCCAAAAACGUGUGCCCACCGCCAUGCACCCCGAAGAAGUUCAGCGGAAAAUCUUUCUGGUCUUCAUUGCCUGGCGCCCCGGCAAGACGAGAUUGAAACUCAUCAAUGUCCCUGCUCUCCUCGAUAGUCCACGUCGACCAGUUGAAAGAGGUGUAGUGCUGGCCUAUGAAUGGGUUCAUGUCGCGCAUCAGACAUCUGGGAUUGUAGCGCAAUGGAUUGGUUAGGUCGCCCCCGGGCAUUCCAACUGGGCCUAAAUUGGUGGUCAUGUCUGAAAAGGGACCAAACGUGACGCAUCCUCCCCCAGUUCCAGCUGGAAACUCGCGACCCUCUACUUUUGGAAAUGGUGGCGGAGGCGGUAGGCGGUACGUUGGGUCUCGUUCUGCCAAUGGAGCACCAUUACUCCCAAAACUAUAAGGCGAGCCAUCAAAGAGAGCAGAUUUUUGCGGAUCAUAGACGUCGUAUCCCCACUCCCAAUAACUGUUGAAAGGUCAAAACAUGGGUACAUACAUCCCCAAUGGGCCACAAGUUAGGUGAGAUUGAGGCAUUCUUACGGGCUAAUCCCAUGAUAUCCACAUUCCUCCCUAAGAGCCUUCUCAUAUGCCCAGACGAAGUACCGAUGCCAGGCGAGGAAGUUGAACUAGAAACUAUAAGCACUUGGAUACUAUGAGACGGUGCACAUAUACCAAAAACCUACAUUUCCGUGGAUGAAUGGGGUUUUGGUAAUAUGAACGACAGCGAACGAGUCAAAAAGAUUUUUGGAGCCUGGUGCUUCUUCCUCCGUAAACAAUGAUGGCUUGGAUUGAAGACAAUACACAGCUUCAAUGUAUUUCCUCCUUUCUGCUUUGGACAAGAACCGCCUAGGCAAAGAAACAUUAGGUUUUUCAAAUCAGCG
rnacentral:sRNA from 2 species